rnacentral:misc_RNA from 1 species
GGGUAUCUCAUGGAUUUGCUUGAUGCUGCAAUUGCAAGCUGGGAUGUCUGGCCGGCUUCACCCUGCACAGACAUUUGCUGGAACUGCUCUGCCACCUGAGAUAUCUCAGGAGGAUGUGAUGACGAACUGGCUUGCGAGGGAGUGGCCUGGUAAGAUGGCUGGGUAGCUUGGUGCAGCUCGGAAACUGGGGUCCUGGAUGGGCCACCAGCAGAUGGGCUACCUCUAUGCCCACCAUAAUGCUGUUGUGGUGGCAUCCCACCUCUCAUAUCAUGACCCCCACGGCCUUGUAACUCAGAAACGGUAGUAAACUGCUGCUGAGGCGGCAUUCCUCCACGACCCUGAUAUCCACCACGCUGUCCUUGUUGAAAACCACCACCUCUCCCCCCUUGAUGGGGUUGCUGAGGGAAGGAACCUCGACCCUGUUGAAAGUUUCCACCGCCUCUUCCUCCUUGUUGGGAUUGCUGAGGGUUGAAACCCCGACCUUGUUGAUACCCGCCUCUUCCCCCUUGUUGGGUUUGUUGAGGGUUGAACGGACCAU